rnacentral:rRNA from 1 species
UACGUAGGGUGCGAGCGUUAAUCGGAAUUACUGGGCGUAAAGCGUGCGCAGGCGGUUCGUUAAGACAGAUGUGAAAUCCCCGGGCUUAACCUGGGAACUGCAUUUGUGACUGGCGAGCUAGAGUAUGGCAGAGGGGGGUAGAAUUCCACGUGUAGCAGUGAAAUGCGUAGAGAUGUGGAGGAACACCGAUGGCGAAGGCAGCCCCCUGGGCUGAGAUUGACGCUGAGUGCACGAAAGCGUGGGGAGCAAACAG